rnacentral:rRNA from 1 species
GACGAACGCUGGCGGCGUGCUUAACACAUGCCAGUCGAACGGAAAGGCCCUGCUUUUGUGGGGUACACGAGUGGCGAACGGGUGAGUAACACGUGAGUAACCUGCCCUUGACUUUGGGAUAACUUCAGGAAACUGGGGCUAAUACCGGAUAGGAGCUCCUGCUGCAUGGUGGGGGUUGGAAAGUUUCGGCGGUUGGGGAUGGACUCGCGGCUUAUCAGCUUGUUGGUGGGGUAGUGGCUUACCAAGGCUUUGACGGGUAGCCGGCCUGAGAGGGUGACCGGCCACAUUGGGACUGAGAUACGGCCCAGACUCCUACGGGAGGCAGCAGUGGGGAAUAUUGCACAAUGGGCGGAAGCCUGAUGCAGCAACGCCGCGUGCGGGAUGACGGCCUUCGGGUUGUAAACCGCUUUCGCCUGUGACGAAGCGUGAGUGACGGUAAUGGGUAAAGAAGCACCGGCUAACUACGUG